GUGCUCGCUUCGGCAGCACAUAUACUAAAGUUGGAACGAUACAGAGAAAAAUAG
rnacentral:snRNA from 1 species